AUGGCUUCCCCAGGGGUCCUCUCUGAAAUUAAGCUGGCACAGUCUGGCAUAGGAAUAGUCAAACCUGGAGAGUCCUUAAAACUGACCUGCACAUUCUCCGGUGCCCCCAUCACUGAUGGAUAUCCUAUCAGCUGGGUCCGCCAGCCACCCAACAAAGGGCUGGAAUGGAUCGGAAGAAGAUACUACCACAGUUCUAAAUGGUACACUGAUUAUGCCUCCGCCUUCCAGAGCAGGGUCUCCAUCUCUCCUGACACCUCCAAGAAUGAGUAUACUCUCCUGUUGAGCACUUUGACAGCUGCAGACACGGCCACCUAUUACUGUGCCCGAUACCCACAGUGA